UUUUUUUUCUUUUGGGCUUUUGUCUUUUAUUUUAGAGCUGCACCCAUGGCACAUGGAGGUUCAGUCCUAAAAAGACAAAAAAAUUUAAAAAAGAAUAAAUAAAAAUUAAAAAAAUGCAUGGGGGGGGGAUGAUAAUAACUAUGUGGUGGGCAUGCACCAGUUCCCUGGAAACGAUACACAGAUUUUCUUCCAGGGAAUCAUGUCCCCACUGUGCAUCCAAUGGCCAUGCAUUUCAGAGGCCUUGUCUCCAAGCCCACCUCCAGGAGUGGGCCCGUGACCUGGGCCAGGCCAACCGGGUACAGGAGUUAGGAGUGUCACAGAGAUGCUUAGGCUGUAGGGGCUGGAGCCACCAGGACCAACCACCACACACUGGCUGAGAAUAGAGCCAAUGGUAUAAGGCAGAGCUGGCAGAGGGUGAAAAACAGGCCUGAGGAAAUUCUUUGUGUCUCUGAUCAACACACCUGAAGUCUGGGCUUUUUAAGGCACCUGAGCCCAAAAGUUUCCCUUUUUCUCUAAGCCAUUUAGAGUCGGCCUUCCUGUCCCUUGAAAACUAAAAGGCUCAAGGCUGAAGUACCCAUCAUGGCUCAAUGGUAACAAACCUAACUGGUAUCCAUAAGGACGUGGAUUCAAUCCCUGGCCUUGUUCAGUGGGUUAAAGGAUCCGCUGUUGCCAUGAGCUGUGGUAUAGGUCACAGAUGCAGCUCAGAUUUGGAGUUGCUGUGGCUGUGGUGUAGGUUGGCAGCUGCAGCUCUGAUUUGACUCCUGUCCUGGGAACUUUAGUAUGUUGUGGGUGCGGCUCUAAAAAGACCAAAAAAAAAAAAAAAAAAAAGGUUCAAGACUGAUACCAUCUCUCAGGUUUGUUUCACUGAACGAGUUAUUGUAUAAUGACAGCUUUCUGAAAACUAUAAAAGCCUUUUAUAAACAAUAAAAGCAGAGCAGAGGUAAUAUAUUAUCAGCUUACUGGGGGGAGACAAAUAAUAUAUUACAAGGAAAAGCUGAAACUACUUUCAGUUCUUCUGACUUUACAGUAAUAAGGCAAAAAGGAAAGUUAUCCUUAUGCUUCAGUGUGAUGCCUAACGACUUUCAGGAGCCUGGGCACGGUGACCUGUGACUCGACACAAAAGCAGCCCAAGUACAGCAUGAGUACGACAACCCUCCAGUCUCAGACUGAGAUGCGAGGAGCACCUGCGGAAGCCAUGCGUCUUAAAAUGAGGAAGAGGUUACUCCAAAUUUCACUUCUAAGACUUUCUUAAAUUAUUCGUUAAGGAUGUGAAAAGGACAAAACAGGAGGGGGGGGGACAGAGUAAUAAUGAAUAAAUAAAAGAAAGUACAGGGACAAUACGUGUGUGUUGACUCAAAGGAGCUGAAGGGAAAAGACAUAAAUGAAAAGGACAGGACUGCCUCAGGAAUCCCACCGUGAACUGAAGGGUUUUUCUCUACAGAUGAGAACUUUGGAGGACGUCUGAACUGAGAUACCUCGGACAAAGUGCUCGGCAUGGGGACCAGUCCUCUUGAGCUGCUCAGCAGGCAGACAUGACACAAACACCCCCAUCUCAGAGAUGGGGAAACUGACACCCAAGAGGUCACAUCAUCUGCCCGAGUCUCACAGUGAAAGGCAAGCCUUCUGCCUCACAAGGGUCCUCUGC
rnacentral:lncRNA from 1 species